UACAGAGGUCUCAACCGUUGUUCGGAAUUAUUGGGCGUAAAGGGCGCGUAGGCGGCUUGGCAAGUGGAAGGUGAAAUCCCUCGGCUCAACCGAGGAACUGCCUUCUAAACUGCUUUGAUUGAGUCCGGGAGAGGUCAGUGGAAUUCCCAGUGUAGCGGUGAAAUGCGUAGAUAUUGGGAGGAACACCAGUGGCGAAGGCGGCUGACUGGACCGGUACUGACGCUGAGGCGCGAAAGCGUGGGGAGCAAACGGG
rnacentral:rRNA from 1 species